CCUACGGGUGACAGCAGUAGGGAAUCUUUCACAAUGGGCGAAAGCCUGAUGGAGCAACGCCGCGUGCAGGAUGAAGGCCUUUGGGUUGUAAACUGCUUUUAUAAGCGAGAAAUAUGAUGGUAACUUAUGAAUAAGGAUCGGCUAACUACGUGCCAGCAGCCGCGGUCAUACGUAGGAUCCGAGCAUUAUCCGGAGUGACUGGGUGUAAAGAGUUGCGUAGGUGGCAUAAUAAGUAGCUAGUGAAAUCUGGUGGCUCAACCAUUCAGACUAUUAGCUAAACUGUUAAGCUCGAGACCGUUAGGGGUAACUGGAAUUUCUAGUGUAGGAGUGAAAUCCGUAGAUAUUAGAAGGAACACCAAUAGCGUAGGCAGGUUGCUGGGACGGUUCUGACACUAAGGCACGAAAGCGUAGGGAGCAAACGGGAUUAGAUACCCCAGUAGUC
rnacentral:rRNA from 1 species